rnacentral:piRNA from 1 species
UGGAAGGUAAAGGCAGAUGCAGUCAGCAC